rnacentral:rRNA from 1 species
GGUUAAAAAGCUCGUAGUUGGAUCUCGGCGGGCAGGGGGUGGUUCGCUCUUCAGCGCUACUGCCCCGCUUUGCCCGUGUGAUUGGCGGAGGUUUCGGGGUGCUCUUCGUUGAGUGACUCGGAGCGCCGUCAGGUUUACUUUGAAAAAAUUAGAGUGCUAAAAGCAGGCUUUUCACGCUUGAAUAUUCGUGCAUGGAAUAAUGGAAUAGGUACUCGUUUCUAUUUUGUUGGUUUUCGGAAAUCGAGUUAAUGAUUAACAGGGACAAUUGGGGGCAUUAGUAUUCAGACGACAGAGGUGAAAUUCUUGGACCGUCUGAAGACUGACUACUGCGAAAGCAUUUGCCAAGAGUGUUUUCAUUAAUCAAGAACGAAAGUUAGAGGUUCGAAGGCGAUCAGAUACCGCCCUAGUUCUAACCAUAAACGAUGCCAGCUAGCGAUCUGCCGAGUUUUUUUUGUAGGCUCCGCAGGAAGCUUUCGGGAAACCAAAGCUUUUGGGUUCCGGGGGAAGUAUGGUUGCAAAGCUGAAACUUAAAGGAAUUGACGGAAGGGCACCACCAGGAGUGGAGCCUGCGGCUUAAUUUGACUCAACACGGGAAAUCUCACCAGGCCCGGACACUGGAAGGAUUGACAGAUUGAGAGCUCUU